rnacentral:lncRNA from 1 species
CUGUAUUCAUGCAUGCAGCUUGCUGUUUGUAGGGUUUAUGAGUAACACAAAAGUGACUGUCCAGAGACCUCAGCCAGGUUGUGGCUGUUCUUCUCAGAGAUGUGCCAGAAGAAAGAAUAGCCUCUCUGUCUGGUCUUCCUAGCUCUUUUAAAGAAAAUUGCACAUAAAGUGGAAAGAAGACAAAUUGGAGAAUGCAAUAAGAGCUUAACCUUUAGUUCUCCAGUGAGGAUUUUUGGAGGCACUUCUCAGAGCAACAACUGAAAUGAAGGCCUUGAUUCACAAAACAGAACUUCUUCCCAGCUUCAUCCAACAGCACAGUGGUGCCAGUACUUUGACUGGAGGAGAGGUAUGACAUGUAUCUCUAAGAACAGAACCAUCAAAAAUUCCAUAAGAGCAAACUGGCCUCGGAGAAAAUUAGAAGGUAGGAGAAAAACAUCUUUAUUUAUUCAUCUUACCAUGACUUUUUCUGCCACUAGGUUUGCUUGAAGUGAAAUAAUAUUUCAGAAUUCAAUUCUGCUUACCUUAAAAAUGAUUUUAUUCUGUUU